UCCUGGUUAACCCAGGCAGUCUCGUUAGAGUUCCCACCUAAAAUGCUGGCAACUAACGAUAAGGGUUGCGCUCGUUGCGGGACUUAACCCAACACCUCACGGCACGAGCUGACGACAGCCAUGCAGCACCUGUGCAGCGGCCCCGAAGGGAAUAUCCAUUUCUGAAUACGUCCACUGCAUGUCAAGACUGGGUAAGGUUCUUCGCGUUGCAUCGAAUUAAACCACAUGCUCCACUGCUUGUGCGGGUCCCCGUCAAUUCUUUUGAGUUUCACCCUUGCGAGCGUACUCCCCAGGCGGUAUACUUAUCGCGUUAGCUUCGGCACAACUAGGGUUGAGUCCAGUUACACCAAGUAUACAUCGUUUAAGGCAAGGACUAC
rnacentral:misc_RNA from 1 species